AGUGAACGCUGGCGGUAGGCCUAACACAUGCAAGUCGUACGGCAGCACAGUAAGAGCUUGCUCUUACGGGUGGCGAGUGGCGGACGGGUGAGGAAUACAUCGGAAUCUACUUUUUCGUGGGGGAUAACGUAGGGAAACUUACGCUAAUACCGCAUACGACCUACGGGUGAAAGCAGGGGAUCUUCGGACCUUGCGCGAUUGAAUGAGCCGAUGUCGGAUUAGCUAGUUGGCGGGGUAAAGGCCCACCAAGGCGACGAUCCGUAGCUGGUCUGAGAGGAUGAUCAGCCACACUGGAACUGAGACACGGUCCAGACUCCUACGGGAGGCAGCAGUGGGGAAUAUUGGACAAUGGGCGCAAGCCUGAUCCAGCCAUACCGCGUGGGUGAAGAAGGCCUUCGGGUUGUAAGGCCCUUUUGUUGGGAAAGAAAAGCAGCAGGUUAAUACCCCGCUGUUCUGACGGUACCCAAAGAAUAAGCACCGGCUAACUUCGUG
rnacentral:rRNA from 1 species